GGAGGAAUACCCAAGUCCGGCUGAAGGGAUCGGUCUUGAAAACCGACAGAGCCUUAACGAGCCGCGGGGGUUCGAAUCCCUCUUCCUCCGCCA
rnacentral:tRNA from 1 species